UAUUGGUGUUGUCUCUUUUGGGGAUUUCUAGUUUCUGGUUGAGUUUAUUUGAAAAAUUAGGAAAUUAAAUUAAUAAUCUUUUAUUUAUUUAGAGCUUGUUCAGUUCAUGUUCUUGUGUUAAUGAAUGAAUCGUAAGUGUUAAUUAAGAUAUUAGCCCCAGUUUUAAGAUCUGUUUGACAUUGCUUUUGGAGCAAACACCUGCUGAAAUAUAAAUAUCUUAUUUAGAG
rnacentral:misc_RNA from 1 species